rnacentral:rRNA from 1 species
AUGUGUGUACCCAAACUAUGGGGUGGUAUGGGAUUCCGUGAUAUACAUAGUUUCAACCUUGCGAUGCUUGCCAAACAGUGUUGGCGGUUAAUUGAGAACUAUGACUCUUUAUUUGCAAAGGUAUUAAGAGCAAAGUACUACCCCUCUGGUGACAUUAUGAAUUGUGCUUUAAAAAAGGGAUCAUCUUAUGUAUGGCAAAGCAUAUGGUCAGGUAUCCAAACAUUUUAA